UCCACCAGUCUCCCCUGAGGUCACCUGUUCAGCUUUGUUACUCCUGCUCCCUCACCAGCUUUCAUAGAAACCAUAUGCUAUGUAUGAAUCAGGGACAGCAAUCCCACACAUUGCGUCCUUUGAGUACCCAAAGUCCCACUUUUUACUUUGCCAUGCCUUCACAUCAGCAGUAAUAUUUAUCAGCAAAUGUGAGAUUUUCAAAGAUCCAAUUCUAUGUGCUCCUUUCCCAAAGAGCCUUAGGCAGGGCUAUAGCAUACAUAAAUAUUAAGUAAAGGGCGUAGUUUUUUAAAUGUCAUCCAUUGAUAGUUGACACAUGUCUGAGAUACUUUUUAUUUUGGAGGAGGUAUUAUUUAAUUGGGAAUUCCAACAGCUACAUGAUAGUGAAAUGAGAAGAUUUGCAUCCAUUUUAUUUUGUUUCUGAUGAUUUUUAUGACUAAGGAUAAGAUACUUCCUUGUUCCAAUGCAGAUGUUGCCCACUUCUGUAAAUGGAUGUGGGGUGUCACCUGCUACUUGCAUGUCUGCAUGUUCUGCUUGACACUAACAUCGUACUUGGCAGGUGGCAGAAAGUCAAUACUGAAGUUAAGGUCUUGUGUUCUAGCAGCAGAGCUGAAGAUCCUUUGUGUGCCACCUUCUGCAAUCCAUGCUGCUCUCUUCAUGUUCCUUAUUGACUUCCUGGGAGACACUGCCCUCAAACACUUCUGUGCAGCUGGGAAUGCAGGCUUCUGCUUCACCUUGAAGGAAGCAUUCAUGAAUCCUUUCCAGAAGACAUGAGAAGAGAGAGUGAGCCUCUGGUAACAUGCAGGUUCCUUGCAUUGCCCAUGGGCUAGAAGAGAGAAGAGUUGCUUCAUGAGAUUUGAUCCCCUUUUUCCU